CCACGGUGGGGAGGAGAAGCGGAGGUGCGCUCUGAGGGGUCACUUGCACGCGUUCUAGAGGAGGACUUCCCUGCCUCGCCAGCGCUGCAUCCUUGGGGCAUCCGCGCUGGGCAGGGGCCACAUCCCUGCCCGCCCUUCCUCCCUCACCCUCUUUCUCUCCCCAUCCUCCCUCAGCAAAAUCCGCAUCGUGCUGGGAAAUGUGGGCCACCCCUGCUCGGAAUUCCAGAAUCUCCGGACAGGAAACCUGGCUCAGUCUCCUAGCAGCAUCCAUGACAAGGCUCCUUAGCCCCUCAGCCCCUCACCAUCACCGCCCACCUGCAGCUGCCAAGGGGCCGUUUGCUCCACCGCAGGCGGCUCAAUUAAGGUCCUUCCUCCUACUGAGCCAAAAUCUACCCUCAGAGUCAGCCACCCACCCCCAACAAGUGACCCCGUGGAUACAGACUCAGGGCAGUGCCCAAAGCACUGGGCACUGGGGAAGGGGGCGGGGGGAGAAGUAGCUGGCCAUAGAGGGAGAGGAAAGAGCAGGAGACCCCCAGCUCCCACACCUCUGGACUGGCCAGGAUGGCCUGCAAUA
rnacentral:lncRNA from 10 species